rnacentral:rRNA from 1 species
UACGUAGGGUCCGAGCGUUGUCCGGAAUUACUGGGCGUAAAGAGCUCGUAGGUGGUUUGUCGCGUUGUUCGUGAAAACUCACAGCUUAACUGUGGGCGUGCGGGCGAUACGGGCAGACUUGAGUACUGCAGGGGAGACUGGAAUUCCUGGUGUAGCGGUGGAAUGCGCAGAUAUCGGGAAGAACACCCGUGGCGAAGGCGGCACUCUGGGACGGUACUGACGCUGAGACGCGAAAGCGUGGGGAGCGAACAGG